ACGGAUAAGAUAUUCUAUCAAAAAAAAAAAUUAAGCUUAGGAUAAAAUAAGGAAACAAAUUUCAAUAGUGACAUAAUUAGAAGAUCUUCCUCCGCAAAGUGAUUCAGAAGAUGUUGGCAUGGCAGAAUAGAAAAAACCUUAUACAAGUGCUGCUGUAAUAAUUAAUGAGGGAAUGUACAUCAUUAAUGAU